AUUGAACGCUGGCGGCAUGCCUUACACAUGCAAGUCGAACGGUAACAGGUCUUCGGAUGCUGACGAGUGGCGAACGGGUGAGUAAUACGUCGGAACGUGUCAGCUCGUUGUGGAAAACGAGGCGAUAGCUUUGCUAAUACCUCAUACGAUCUACGAAUGAAAGCGGCGGAUUUUCGGACUUCGCGCGGACGUUGCUGCCGAUGGCGGAUUAGGUAGUGUGUGGGAUAAAAGCUUACCAAGCCGACGAUCUGUAGCUGGUCUGAGAGGAUGAUCCGCCACACUGGAACUGAGACACGGCCCAGACUCCUACGGGAGGCAGCAGUAGGGAAUUUUGGACAAUGGGCGAAAGCCUGACGCAGCCAUGCCGCGUGCGGGAUGAAGGCCUUCGGGUUGUAAACUGCUUUUAUACGGAAAGAAAAACGUUUUAAUAAAAAAGAGGGGUCAUGACGGUACCGUACGAAUAAGCACCGGCUAACUACGUG
rnacentral:rRNA from 1 species